GCACUGCUGAGGAGUCCCGUAAUAGGACUAAACGACCGUCCAGUGC
rnacentral:hammerhead_ribozyme from 1 species